rnacentral:rRNA from 1 species
UUCAACGGCCGCGGUAUCCUAACCGUGCAAAGGUAGCAUAAUCACUUGUCCUAUAAAUAAGGACUGGAAUGAACGGUCAAAUGAGGAUCGAACUGUCUCUUAUAUCCAACCAAUAAACCUGAUCUUUUAGUCCAAAAGCUAAAAUAAAUCCAUAAGACGAGAAGACCCUGUGGAGCUUAAAACCAAACCCAACCCCUGGCCCCCUGGUUUUUAGUUGGGGCAACUCCGGAGUAUAAUAAACCCUCCGACAUGGAACCUGCCCUAAGAUAUACACAUCAAAGAGCCAUUACCCCCGACCCAGUGAUUAUACAAUCAUCUGAUCAACGAACCAAGUUACCCCAGGGAUAACAGCGCCAUCCCCUCUUAGAGUCCAUAUCAACAAGGGGGUUUACGACCUCGAUGUUGGAUCAGGACACCCCAAUAGUGCAACCGCUAUUAAAGGUUCGUUUGUUCAACGAUUAAUAGUCCUACGUGAUCU